UGAAAUUUGUAGAGACAAAACGCU
rnacentral:miRNA from 1 species